AUUAUUAUUAAUUUAAUUAUUAUAUGGAUAAUUAUCUAUGCAAGUUUGACAGCUAUCAAAAUUUAAUUGCAAUGAUAGUUACUCUUCCAAUACGAAGGUUAGGCCACUCUAGGAUUUAAAGACUUUCAGAAAAGAAGUGCAGGAACAGAUGUUCAUCUGGAAGGCCAAUUGUAUGGUGCAGGCAUCGCCGAUUAAAGAUAUAUAAAAUUUUUCUAUAAUUUUUCAGUACUUUAAAUGUGUUUUUCUCAAAACAUUUUUCAAGUCGGCCGAACUCAUAACUCGAAUAAAUCUUUACCAAUUGACUUGAAAUUUUGACUGUAUAUUCAAAAUUACAUUCUUUACAGAAGUAUGUUGGAUUUUUUCAUCAUAUUGCAUAGUUUUUUGUUAUAAACAAUUUUCUGGCAAUUUUGGGGGGAAAUUUUGGAGUUUUUCCGUCAUUCUUGCAAAAAUCGAUAUAUCAAAAAAAUCUUAUGUACUUCUGUAGCUAUUCUCAUAUAUAAUCGAAAAAAAUUUGUUUUUUAUCCUAACUUAAAAAUUGCAGGUGCUACUGGUUCGGAUAUACAUCCUUAAAAAAAAGGCUUUAUCGAAAAGCUGUACAGCUGCCAUUUUGUUUUCUAUUGCUUUGGAAAGAUUAAUUUUUACAAUUCAUUAGUUGUAUAAUAAAGGACCUUUUUCAAAA